GUGGCUAAAACCGGAUAGAGGAUUGAUACUGGAAUGUUCUUUCCUUGAAAGGCAACGCUGUAGGAUGAGUUGGCGGCUGAUUAGGUAGUUGGUAGUGUAAAGGACUACCAAGCCUACGAUCAGUACGGGCCUUGAGAGAGGUAGCCCGGAGAAGGGUACUGAGACACUGACCCUAGCCCUACGGGGUGCAGCAGGCGCGAAACCUUUACACUGUACGCAAGUGCGAUAAGGGAACUCCCAGUGCUCAUGCACAGCAUGGGCUUUUGCCAAGUGUAAACAGCUUGGCGAAUAAGUGGUGGGUAAGACGGGUGCCAGCCGCCGCGGUAACACCUGCGCCACGAGUGGUGAUCACAUUUAUUGGGCCUAAAGCGUUCGUAGCCGGGUAUGUAAGUCCUGAGUGAAAUCGUUACGCUCAACAAAACGACGUGCUUGGGAGACUGCAUGCCUAGGGACCGGGAGGCGUCAAGGGUAUUCUCGAGGGAGCGGUAAAAUGCUAUAAUCUCGAGAGGACCACCUGUGGCGAAGGCGUUUGACGAGAACGGGUUCGACGGUGAGGGACGAAAGCUAGGGGAGCAAACCGGAUUAGAUACCCGAGUAGUCCUAGCUGUAAACGCUGUGUACU
rnacentral:rRNA from 1 species